rnacentral:rRNA from 1 species
CCUACGGGAGGCAGCAGUGAGGAAUAUUGGUCAAUGGGCGCGAGCCUGAACCAGCCAAGUCGCGUGAGGGAAGACGGUCCUAUGGAUUGUAAACCUCUUUUGUCGGGGAGCAAAAGACGCCACGCGUGGCGUUCCGAGAGUACCCGAAGAAAAAGCAUCGGCUAACUCCGUGCCAGCAGCCGCGGUAAUACGGAGGAUGCGAGCGUUAUCCGGAUUUAUUGGGUUUAAAGGGUGCGUAGGCGGAUUUUUAAGUCAGCGGUAAAAUGUCCGGGCUCAACCCGGGCCGGCCGUUGAAACUGGGGAUCUUGAGUGGGCGAGAAGUAUGCGGAAUGCGUGGUGUAGCGGUGAAAUGCAUAGAUAUCACGCAGAACUCCGAUUGCGAAGGCAGCAUACCGGCGCCCGACUGACGCUGAGGCACGAAAGCGUGGGGAUCGAACAGGAUUAGAUACCCCAGUAGUC